rnacentral:lncRNA from 1 species
UCUCGAUAGUUGGGCACUUCAGCUUUUGCACAGGGAUCCAUAUCACAUGAUGUAUCUGAUCAGACUUUGAUCCCUCACAUCUCCACUGUCUUCCAAAUGAUUUCAGAUCAGUCAGUUCACAUUCAGCAGCUUGAGGGUUAUAUAUUGAGACUGACUGGGAGAGUACUUGACUUGCAGGGGCAAGUGUUAGCUCUGGCACAUCCACAGCCACAGGAGUG